ACAAGCAGUGGUCUAUCUUGGUUUAGUUAUUACACACCCUCCAAUUUAAGGUCUGAAGAUCACUGCAGCCAUUUUGCUCCUUCCCUACCUCUUCAAAGAAGAUCUAAGUGGGCUGUAUGUCACAGACGUUUUGACCCAAUGAUUCAUCUGGCAUGGAUCAAGGCUGGCGAGACAUUCAAUAAUGUCAUCUUUAGAGACAAAUCAACCGUGGCCCUUGAGCAAUUUGCUCACAGAUGAACUGAUCAAGGCCAUCAAGAUGUUUUGGCUAGAGAAAUUGACGAUUCAACAAUGCAACAUCAUCAUCUCAUCAAGGUUUUACCUGUGGUCGUGGAGAUGGGUGGAAUGUAGCUUAUAUAAACAUCUGCAUUUGAAUGUCUUUUUUCUCGUUAUUUAAUUUUAUUAACAAAAGCAUAAAUAUGUUGCUGAAUAAAUACUGUACUGCUGUUUUGAGUUGGAAAUGUAACACUUUAGAGUACUUAAGUAUCGAAUACAUUGCAAGUUGGGGUAUUUUUCCCAACAGUAGCCGGGUUAUAAAAAGUAUAUUGUCCUGCUAAUAGGAAACAUUUGCAUGAUGGGCUACACCUGCUACAGUUGUGAAAAACAAGUAUUUGAAAACCUGUGUUCAAAAUGCCUCCAGUUGUCCAUCACUACUGUAAAUAAAAACGCAGCAUCUUGUUUA